rnacentral:rRNA from 1 species
GAUGAACGCUAGCGGCAGGCUUAAUACAUGCAAGUCGAGGGACAGCACAGGUUGCGAUACUGGGUGGUAACCGGCAAACGGGUGCGGAACACGUACACAACCUUCCUUUAAGUGGGGGAUAGCCCAGAGAAAUUUGGAUUAAUACCCCGUAAUAUAGUUGAAUGGCAUCAUUUGGUUAUUAUAGCUCCGGCGCUUAAUGUUUGGUGUGCGGCUGAUUAGAUAGUUGGCGGGGUAACGGCCCACCAAGUCUACGAUCAGUAGCUGAUGUGAGAGCAUGUGCAGCCACACGGGCACUGAGACACGGGCCCGACUCCUACGGGCGGCGGCAGUAAGGAAUAUUGGUCAAUGGACGCAAGUCUGAACCAGCCAUGCCGCGUGAAGGAUUAAGGUCCUCUGGAUUGUAAACUUCUUUUAUUUGGGACGAAAAAGGGCCUUUCUAGGUCAACUGACGGUACCAGAUGAAUAAGCACCGGCUAACUCCGUGCCAGCCGCCGCCGUAACAC